rnacentral:rRNA from 1 species
UACGUAGGGACCAAGCGUUGUUCGGAUUUACUGGGCGUAAAGGGCGCGUAGGCGGCAAAUUAAGUCAGCUGUGAAAUCUCCGAGCUUAACUCGGAACUGUCAGCUGAUACUGAUGUGCUAGAGUGCGGAAGGGGCAAUCGGAAUUCUUGGUGUAGCGGUGAAAUGCGUAGAUAUCAGGAAGAACACCCGUGGCUAAGGCGGUUCUCUAGUACGGUACUGACGCUGAGACGCGAAAGCGUGGGGAGCGAACAGG